AUUGAACGCUGGCGGUAGGCCUAACACAUGCAAGUCGAACGGCAGCACAGUAAGAGCUUGCUCUUACGGGUGGCGAGUGGCGGACGGGUGAGGAAUACAUCGGAAUCUACUUUUUCGUGGGGGAUAACGUAGGGAAACUUACGCUAAUACCGCAUACGACCUACGGGUGAAAGCAGGGGAUCUUCGGACCUUGCGCGAUUGAAUGAGCCGAUGUCGGAUUAGCUAGUUGGCGGGGUAAAGGCCCACCAAGGCGACGAUCCGUAGCUGGUCUGAGAGGAUGAUCAGCCACACUGGAACUGAGACACGGUCCAGACUCCUACGGGAGGCAGCAGUGGGGGAUAUUGGACAAUGGGCGCAAGCCUGAUCCAGCCAUACCGCGUGGGUGAAGAAGGCCUUCGGGUUGUAAAGCCCUUUUGUUGGGAAAGAAAAGCAGCAGGUUAAUACCCCGCUGUUCUGACGGUACCCAAAGAAUAAGCACCGGCUAACUUCGUG
rnacentral:rRNA from 1 species